rnacentral:lncRNA from 1 species
UAGGUCAUACCCAGCGUCACCAUGAGCCACAACAGUCCUCCUGAGGCCAACACUUUUUGCUCCUUUCCCAUGCACCAAAAAAGUCCCAUUGUCUUCAUCACACAAGUGACAGCCUGGCCUGGGGAUUUAUGAGCAUGAUGUCUCUGUGGCUGGGCUGUGAGCACCUGCACCCUGGGUUCCGGAGAGCCUCGUGCAAGGGCUGAUCUCAUCUUAAACAGCAAAAUAUGUCUUGGAAUCACCUCUUCAGAGCAGGUAAAAAUCCUGACCAGUCGGCCGGCCGAGAAAACAAGCGUUCCACUCGCCCGGAAAUUAGAUGCACGGGGCACUCGGUCCCCGCCGGAGGUGGGAAGCCCUGCGGAGGCGAGACCGGCUGCCCGGGGGGCCGCGGCCCCUGCAGACCACGGAGGCCGUUCCAGGGGCCGCGUGCGCACGGCCCCCCCCCCGCCCCGCCAGGUGCGCCGGGCCCGGCCCCGCCAGCCGCGCGCCUCCCGCCGCCGGGCACGGGCGGCCCCGCAGCCGAGCCUUCCCGCCCGGCGCCCGGGCUCCGAUUUCAGGUUCGCCCGGGGGGCCCGGCCCGCGGCCGCCCAGCCCCCGCCGGCGCGCCCUCGCGCGGCCCCGCCGCCCCGCCUGCCCAUUCUUCUCCAUUCAUGCGGACGCCCAGCGCCGUCGCCGCCGCCGGCCGCCCGGAUUGGCUGGCGGCCGCGGCGCCGGCACUUUCCCACGGCCCGCGGCGCGUGCGGCUCACCGGCGGCGCUGCAGGCGCGGCCCUGGCGCGCGGCCAGGCCAAUCGGGGCGCGCGGGGCGGGGCGGGGCCGCGGCGGGCGGCGGGCUCGGGGCUCGGGGCUCGGGGCUCGGGGCUCGGGGCCCGGCCCGGCCUCCCCCGCCUGCCCGCCGCCGGCCCACAGCCGCCCGCCCCGCCCCGCCCCGCCCGCGGAGCCCCGGCCGAGCCCCCGCGGAGCCCCCGCGGAGCCGACGCACCGCCGCCGGGCAGGGGCCGGCGCGCGGGGCGGGGGCGGGGCGGGGCGGGGCGGGGGCGGGGCUCGGGGGCCGCGCUCCGGGCCCGCCCCGCGGCGGCUGCCAAUCAGCGGAGCGGGAAGCCGGGUUGGCGGAGGGGAGGCCGUUGCCCCGGAGCCGCCGCCGCCCCGCCCCCCGCCCCCUCGCCCGCCUCCUCCGCCCCUCCCGCCCUUCCCCCGGGGACCUGA